CUCGCCAUAUGUUACAAGUGUCAUAUGGGACCGCCGGUAUCAAGCCGGAGGAAGGUGGGGAUGACGUCAAGUCAGCAUGGCCUUUAUAUCCGGGGCUACACACACGCUACAAUGGCCAGUACAAUUGGUUGCAAAGCCGCGAGGUGGAGCCAAUCCAUAAAGCUGGUCUCAGUUCAGAUUGCAGGCUGCAACCCGCCUGCAUGAAGUCGGAGUUGCUAGUAAACGCAGGACAGCUAUACUGCGUUGAAUACGUUCCCGGGCCUU
rnacentral:rRNA from 1 species